rnacentral:rRNA from 1 species
GGUGAAAAGCACCCCGGAAGGGGAGUGAAAUAGAACCUGAAACCGUGUGCUUACAAGUAGUCAGAGCCCGUUAAUGGGUGAUGGCGUGCCUUUUGUAGAAUGAACCGGCGAGUUACGAUUUGAUGCAAGGUUAAGCAGUAAAUGUGGAGCCGUAGCGAAAGCGAGUCUGAAUAGGGCGUUUAGUAUUUGGUCGUAGACCCGAAACCAGGUGAUCUACCCUUGGUCAGGUUGAAGUUCAGGUAACACUGAAUGGAGGACCGAACCGACUUACGUUGAAAAGUGAGCGGAUGAACUGAGGGUAGCGGAGAAAUUCCAAUCGAACCUGGAGAUAGCUGGUUCUCUCCGAAAUAGCUUUAGGGCUAGCCUCAAGUGAUGAUUAUUGGAGGUAGAGCACUGUUUGGACGAGGGGCCCCUCUCGGGUUACCGAAUUCAGACAAACUCCGAAUGCCAAUUAAUUUAACUUGGGAGUCAGAACAUGGGUGAUAAGGUCCGUGUUCGAAAGGGAAACAGCCCAGACCACCAGCUAAGGUCCCAAAAUAUAUGUUAAGUGGAAAAGGAUGUGGCGUUGCCCAGACAACUAGGAUGUUGGCUUAGAAGCAGCCAUCAUUUAAAGAGUGCGUAAUAGCUCACUAGUCGAGUGACACUGCGCCGAAAAUGUACCGGGGCUAAACAUAUUACCGAAGCUGUGGAUUGUCCUUUGGACAAUGG